rnacentral:rRNA from 1 species
AUUGAACGCUGGCGGCAGGCCUAACACAUGCAAGUCGAGCGGAUGACGGGAGCUUGCUCCUUGAUUCAGCGGCGGACGGGUGAGUAAUGCCUAGGAAUCUGCCUGGUAGUGGGGGACAACGUUUCGAAAGGAACGCUAAUACCGCAUACGUCCUACGGGAGAAAGCAGGGGACCUUCGGGCCUUGCGCUAUCAGAUGAGCCUAGGUCGGAUUAGCUAGUUGGUGGGGUAAUGGCUCACCAAGGCGACGAUCCGUAACUGGUCUGAGAGGAUGAUCAGUCACACUGGAACUGAGACACGGUCCAGACUCCUACGGGAGGCAGCAGUGGGGAAUAUUGGACAAUGGGCGAAAGCCUGAUCCAGCCAUGCCGCGUGUGUGAAGAAGGUCUUCGGAUUGUAAAGCACUUUAAGUUGGGAGGAAGGGCAGUAAGUUAAUACCUUGCUGUUUUGACGUUACCGGCAGAAUAAGCACCGGCUAACUCUGUGCCAGCAGCCGCGGUAA